rnacentral:tRNA from 1 species
UCUAAUAUGGCAGACUAGUGCACUGGAUUUAAACCCCAAUUAUAAGUUUUACUUUUUUAGAA